GACGAACGCUGGCGGCGUGCUUAACACAUGCAAGUCGAACGGUAAGGCUCCAGCUUGCUGGGGUACACGAGUGGCGAACGGGUGAGUAACACGUGGGUGACCUGCCCUGCACUUCGGGAUAAGCCUGGGAAACUGGGUCUAAUACCGGAUAGGACCGCACCGUGAGGGUGUGGUGGAAAGUUUUUUCGGUGUGGGAUGGGCCCGCGGCCUAUCAGCUUGUUGGUGGGGUAAUGGCCUACCAAGGCGGCGACGGGUAGCCGGCCUGAGAGGGUGGACGGCCACAUUGGGACUGAGACACGGCCCAGACUCCUACGGGAGGCAGCAGUGGGGAAUAUUGCACAAUGGGCGGAAGCCUGAUGCAGCGACGCCGCGUGGGGGAUGACGGCCUUCGGGUUGUAAACUCCUUUCACCAUCGACGAAGGGUUUCUGACGGUAGAUGGAGAAGAAGCACCGGCUAACUACGUGCCAGCAGCCGCGGUAAUACGUAGGGUGCGAGCGUUGUCCGGAAUUACUGGGCGUAAAGAGCUCGUAGGUGGUUUGUCGCGUCGUCUGUGAAAUUCCGGGGCUUAACUCCGGGCGUGCAGGCGAUACGGGCAUAACUUGAGUACUGUAGGGGAGACUGGAAUUCCUGGUGUAGCGGUGAAAUGCGCAGAUAUCAGGAGGAACACCGGUGGCGAAGGCGGGUCUCUGGGCAGUAACUGACGCUGAGGAGCGAAAGCAUGAGGAGCGAACAGGAUUAGAUACCCUGGUAGUCCAUGCCGUAAACGGUGGGCGCUAGGUGUGGGUUUCCUUCCACGGGAUCCGUGCCGUAGCUAACGCAUUAAGCGCCCCGCCUGGGGAGUACGGCCGCAAGGCUAAAACUCAAAGGAAUUGACGGGGGCCCGCACAAGCGGCGGAGCAUGUGGAUUAAUUCGAUGCAACGCGAAGAACCUUACCUGGGCUUGACAUAUACAGGAUCGCGCCAGAGAUGGUGUUUCCCUUGUGGCUUGUAUACAGGUGGUGCAUGGUUGUCGUCAGCUCGUGUCGUGAGAUGUUGGGUUAAGUCCCGCAACGAGCGCAACCCUUGUCUUAUGUUGCCAGCACGUUGUGGUGGGGACUCGUAAGAAACUGCCGGGGUUAACUCGGAGGAAGGUGGGGAUGACGUCAAAUCAUCAUGCCCCUUAUGUCCAGGGCUUCACACAUGCUACAAUGGUCGGUACAGUGGGUUGCCAGUCCGUGAGGGCGAGCUAAUCCCGCAAAGCCGGUCUCAGUUCGGAUCGGGGUCUGCAACUCGACCCCGUGAAGUCGGAGUCGCUAGUAAUCGCAGAUCAGCAACGCUGCGGUGAAUACGUUCCCGGGCCU
rnacentral:rRNA from 1 species